rnacentral:rRNA from 1 species
GACAAACGCUGGCGGCGUGCUUAACACAUGCAAGUCGAACGGAAAGGCCCUGCUUUUGUGGGGUGCUCGAGUGGCGAACGGGUGAGUAACACGUGAGUAACCUGCCCUUGACUUUGGGAUAACUUCAGGAAACUGGGGCUAAUACCGGAUAGGAGCUCCUGCUGCAUGGUGGGGGUUGGAAAGUUUCGGCGGUUGGGGAUGGACUCGCGGCUUAUCAGCUUGUUGGUGGGGUAGUGGCUUACCAAGGCUUUGACGGGUAGCCGGCCUGAGAGGGUGACCGGCCAAAGUGGGAAGGAGAUACGGCCCAGAAUCCUAAGGGAGGCAGGAGGGGGGAAUAAUGGAAAAUGGGCGGAAGCCUGAUGCAGCAAAGCCGGGGGCGGGAUGAAGGGCUUCGGGUUGUAAACCGCUUUCGCCUGUGACGAAGCGUGAGUGACGGUAAUGGGUAAAGAAGCACCGGCUAACUACGUG